rnacentral:ncRNA from 1 species
AAUAAGAUGAGAAGACCCUAUAGAGCUUUAAUUCAUUAUUGCAAAUAAAAACUCAAAAAAGCUGGCAGGCCCUAGCAUACUAUCCUGCAUUAAAAAUUUUGGUUGGGGUGACCUUGGAGCAUAAUUCAAUCUCCAAGCAACCCAAACUAAGAUGGCACUAGUCUAAGCAAGUUGACACACAUUGACCCAAUAAUUUGAUCAAUGGAAUAAGUUACCCUAGGGAUAACAGCACAAUCCUGCUCUGGAGUCCAUAUUGACAAUAGGGUUUAUGACCUCGAUGUUGGAUCACGACAUCCUAAUGGUGUAGCCGCUAUUAAGGGUUCACUUGUUCAAGGAUUCAAGUCCUCCAUGAUAUGAGUUCAGACCAGAGUAACCCAGGUCAGUUUCUAUCUAUU